ensembl:lncRNA
CUUUUCGGCCACGUUUUGAUAUUUUCCUUCCCCAUCCCAAUAGUUUCGCCCUCAUCCCAAUAUUUUCUCCCUCAUCCCAUUAUUUUUUUAUUCCAUUUCGUUAUUUUUCCUUCCAUUUCGUUAUUUUUCCUUCCAUUUUGUUAUUUUUCCUCCCAUUUUGUUCUUUUUUUUUCAUUUCAUUCUUUUUCCGCCUCAUCCCAUCAUUUUUCCUUCCAUUUCGUUAUUUUUCCUUCCAUUUUGUUAUUUUUCCUCCCAUUUAAUUAUUUUUCCUCCCAUUUUGUUCUUUUUUUUUCAUUUCAUUUUUCUUCCGCCUCAUCCCAUUAUUUUUCCUCCCAUUUCAUUUUUUUUCCUCUCAUUUUGUUCUUUUUCCUCCCAUUUAAUUAUUUUUCCUCCCAUUUUUUCUUUUUUUUUCCAUUUCAUUCUUUUUCCACCUCAUCCCAUUAUUUUUCCUUCCAUUUCAUUUUUUUCCACCUCAUCCCAUUAUUUUUCCUUCCAUUUUGGUGUUUUUCCUUCCAUUUCGUUAUUGUUCCACCUCAUCACGUUAUUUUUCCUUCCAUUUUGCUAUUUUUCCUUCCAUUUCAUUAUUUUUCCUUCCAUUUUGUUAUUUUUCCUCCCAUUUCGUUAUUUUUUCUCCCAUUUAAUUCUUUUUCCUCCCAUUUUGUUAUUUUUUUUCCAUUUCAUUCUUUUUCCACCUCAUCCCAUUAUUUUUCCUUCCAUUUUGUUCUUUUUCCACCUCAUCCCAUUAUUUUUCCUUCCAUUUUGUUAUUUUUCCUCCCAUUUUUUUAUUUUUCCCCCCAUUUCGUUAUUUUUCCUCCCAUUUUGUUCUUUUUUUUCCAUUUCAUUCUUUUUCCACCUCAUCCCAUUAUUUUUCCUUCCAUUUCAUUUUUUUUCCACCUCAUCCCAUUAUUUUUCCUUCCAUUUUGGUGUUUUUUCCUCCCAUUUCGUUAUUUUUCCUUCCAUUUUUUUAUUGUUCCGCCUCAUCCCGUUAUUUUUCCUUCCAUUUUUUUAUUUUUCCUUCCAUUUCGUUAUUUUUCCUCCCAUUUCAUUAUUUUUCCUCCCAUUUUGUUUAUUUUUUUUUCCAUUUCAUUUUUUCCGCCUCAUCCAUUAUUUUUCCUUCCAUUUUGUUCUUUUUCCACCUCAUUCCAUUAUUUUUCCUUCCAUUUUGUUUUUUUCCCCCCCAUUUCAUUAUUUUUCCUUCCAUUUUGUUAUUUUUCCCCCCAUUUCGUUAUUUUUCCUCCCAUUUUGUUCUUUUUUUUCCAUUUCAUUCUUUUUCCACCUCAUCCCAUUAUUUUUCCUUCCAUUUCGUUAUUUUUCCUUCCAUUUCGUUAUUUUUCCUCCCAUUUUGUUAUUUUUCCUCCCAUUUUUUUUAUUUUUCCACCUCAUCCCAUUAUUUUUCCUUCCAUUUCAUUUUUUUCUCCGUCCCAUCCUGUUAUUUUCCCAUCAGAAUUGCCUUUUCGUGGCCAAAUUCGGGGAAGUUUCGGGGCUGGAACAACUCCGGAGACGAUUCCGAGCUGCUGGACUGGGAAAUUCCCAAAAUUCCUUGGCAAGGAGCUGUGGAUCCAUGGAAAAAGGAGCAGGUUCCUGGCAGGAAUCCCACGGAGCAGGAAAUUCCCAAAGGAUCGACCCCGUCGGAAAAAUCCGCGCGGAAACGUCUUCCAGGGGAACGACGUCUCGGAGAAAUCCGCGGAAAACUCCUUCACAUAA